rnacentral:rRNA from 1 species
GCAUAUCAUAAGCGGAGGAAAAGAAACCAACAGGGAUUGCCUCAGUAACGGCGAAGUGAAGCGGCAACAGCUCAAAUUUGAAAUCUGGCCUCUUUGGGGUCCGAGUUGUAAUUUGUAGAGGAUGUUUCGGGUACCGCCUCGGUUUAAAUUUCUUGGAACAGAAUGUCAAAGAGGGUGAGAAUCCCGUCUUGGACCGGCGGUAGGGCCCAUGUGAAACUCCUUCGACGAGUCGAGUUGUUUGGGAAUGCAGCUCAAAAUGGGUGGUAAAUUUCAUCUAAAGCUAAAUAUUGGCCAGAGACCGAUAGCGCACAAGUAGAGUGAUCGAAAGAUGAAAAGCACUUUGAAAAGAGAGUUAAACAGUAUGUGAAAUUGUUGAAAGGGAAGCGCUUACAACCAGACUUGCGCGCGGCGGUUCCCCCUUCCUUUUGGUUGGGCUACUCCGUCGUGUCCAGGCCAACAUCGGUUCUGGGGGUCGGUUAAAGACCCUGGGAAUGUAUCUACCCUUCGGGCGUAGACUUAUAGCCCAGGGUGUCAUGCGGCCUCCCGGGACCGAGGAACGCGCUUCGGCUCGGAUGUUGGCGUAAUGGUUGUCAGCGACCCGUCUUGAAACACGGACCAAGGAGUCUAACAUCUAUGCGAGUGUUUGGGUGUCAAACCCGGAACGCGAAAUGAAAGUGAACGGAGGUAGGAAGCCUUGAGGCUGCACUAUCGACCGAUCCUGAUGUCUUCGGAUGGAUUUGAGUAAGAGCAUAGCUGUUGGGACCCGAAAGAUGGUGAACUAUGCCUGAAUAGGGUGAAGCCAGAGGAAACUCUGGUGGAGGCUCGCAGCGGUUUCUGACGUGCAAAUCGAUCGUCAAAUUUGGGUAUAGGGGGCGAAAGACUAAUCGAACCAUCUAGUAGCUGGUUCCUGCCGA